rnacentral:rRNA from 1 species
AUUGAACGCUGGCGGCAUGCUUUACACAUGCAAGUCGAACGGUAACAGGUUAAGCUGACGAGUGGCGAACGGGUGAGUAAUGCAUCGGAACGUGCCCGAUCGUGGGGGAUAACGCAGCGAAAGCUGCGCUAAUACCGCAUACGAUCUGAGGAUGAAAGCGGGGGACCGUAAGGCCUCGCGCGAUCGGAGCGGCCGAUGUCAGAUUAGGUAGUUGGUGGGGUAAAGGCUCACCAAGCCAACGAUCUGUAGCUGGUCUGAGAGGACGACCAGCCACACUGGGACUGAGACACGGCCCAGACGCCUACGGGAGGCAGCAGUGGGGAAUUUUGGACAAUGGGCGAAAGCCUGAUCCAGCAAUGCCGCGUGCAGGAAGAAGGCCUUCGGGUUGUAAACUGCUUUUGUACGGAGCGAAAAGGUUCUCCCUAAUACAGAGGGCUCAUGACGGUACCGUAAGAAUAAGCACCGGCUAACUACGUGCCAGCCGCCGCCGUAAGAC